UUAUACGAGAGUUUGAUCCUGGCUCAGGACGAACGCUGGCGGCGUGCCUAAUACAUGCAAGUCGAGCGGAUGAAAGAGAGCUUGCUCUCUGGAAUCAGCGGCGGACGGGUGAGUAAC
rnacentral:rRNA from 1 species